rnacentral:rRNA from 1 species
CCUACGGGCUGCAGCAGUAGGGAAUCUUCGGCAAUGGACGAAAGUCUGACCGAGCAACGCCGCGUGAGUGAAGAAGGUUUUCGGAUUGUAAAACUCUGUUGUUAGAGAAGAACAAGUAGGAGAGUAACUGCUCUUACCUUGACGGUAUCUAACCAGAAAGCCACGGCUAACUACGUGCCAGCAGCCGCGGUAAUACGUAGGUGGCAAGCGUUGUCCGGAUUUAUUGGGCGUAAAGCGAGCGCAGGCGGUCUUUUAAGUCUGAUGUGAAAGCCCUCGGCUCAACCGAGGAAGGUCAUUGGAAACUGGAGG